GAAAUCCCGUCGGAAUCUGGGAGGACCAUCUCCCAACCCUAAAUACUCCCUAGUGACCGAUAGUGAACCAGUACCGUGAGGGAAAGGUGAAAAGCACCCCGGGAGGGGAGUGAAAUAGAACCUGAAACCGUGUGCCUACAACAAGUUCGAGCCCGUUAAUGGGUGAGAGCGUGCCUUUUGUAGAAUGAACCGGCGAGUUACGUUAUGAUGCGAGGUUAAGUUGAAGAGACGGAGCCGUAGGGAAACCGAGUCUGAAUAGGGCGCCUUAGUAUCAUGACGUAGACCCGAAACCAUGUGACCUACCCAUGAGCAGGUUGAAGGUGCGGUAAGACGCACUGGAGGACCGAACCAGGGCACGUUGAAAAGUGCUUGGAUGACUUGUGGGUAGCGGAGAAAUUCCAAACGAACUUGGAGAUAGCUGGUUCUCUCCGAAAUAGCUUUAGGGCUAGCGUCGACAUUAGAGAUUCUUGGAGGUAGAGCACUGUUUGGGUGAGGGGUCCAUCCCGGAUUACCAAUCUCAGAUAAACUCCGAAUGCCAAUGAAUUAUGGUCGGCAGUCAGACUGCGAGUGCUAAGAUCCGUAGUCGAAAGGGAAACAGCCCAGACCACCAGCUAAGGUCCCAAAAUAAUUGUUAAGUGGAAAAGGAUGUGGGGUUGCACAGACAACUAGGAUGUUAGCUUAGAAGCAGCUAUUCAUUCAAAGAGUGCGUAAUAGCUCACUAGUCGAGUGACCCUGCGCCGAAAAUGUACCGGGGCUAAAACAAUUUACCGAAGCUGUGGAUACCUUUAUAGGUAUGGUAGGAGAGCGUUCUAUGUGUGAUGAAGGUAUACCGUGAGGAGUGCUGGAACGCAUAGAAGUGAGAAUGCCGGUAUGAGUAGCGAAAGACAGGUGAGAAUCCUGUCCACCGUAAGACUAAGGUUUCCAGGGGAAGGCUCGUCCGCCCUGGGUUAGUCGGGACCUAAGGAGAGACCGAAAGGUGUAUCCGAUGGACAACAGGUUGAUAUUCCUGUACUAGAGUAUGUAGUGAUGGAGGGACGCAGUAGGCUAACUAAAGCAGACGAUUGGAAGAGUCUGUCUAAGCAGUGAGGUGUGAAUUGAGUCAAAUGCUUAAUUCUAUAACAUUGAGCUGUGAUGGGGAGCGAAGUUUAGUAGCGAAGUUAGUGACGUCACACUGCCAAGAAAAGCUUCUAGCGUUUAAACAUACUCUACCCGUACCGCAAACCGACACAGGUAGUCGAGGCGAGUAGCCUCAGGUGAGCGAGAGAACUCUCGUUAAGGAACUCGGCAAAAUGACCCCGUAACUUCGGGAGAAGGGGUGCUGACUUAAAGUCAGCCGCAGUGAAUAGGUCCAAGCAACUGUUUAUCAAAAACACAGCUCUCUGCUAAAUCGUAAGAUGAUGUAUAGGGGGUGACGCCUGCCCGGUGCUGGAAGGUUAAGAGGAGUGCUUAGCGUAAGCGAAGGUAUGAAUUGAAGCCCCAGUAAACGGCGGCCGUAACUAUAACGGUCCUAAGGUAGCGAAAUUCCUUGUCGGGUAAGUUCCGACCCGCACGAAAGGCGUAAUGAUUUGGGCACUGUCUCAACGAGAGACUCGGUGAAAUUUUAGUACCUGUGAAGAUGCAGGUUACCCGCGACAGGACGGAAAGACCCCAUGGAGCUUUACUGCAGUUUGAUAUUGAGUGUCUGUACCACAUGUACAGGAUAGGUAGGAGUCUAAGAGAUCGGGACGCCAGUUUCGAAGGAGACGCUGUUGGGAUACUACCCUUGUGUUAUGGCCACUCUAACCCAGAUAGGUGAUCCCUAUCGGAGACAGUGUCUGACGGGCAGUUUGACUGGGGCGGUCGCCUCCUAAAAGGUAACGGAGGCGCCCAAAGGUUCCCUCAGAAUGGUUGGAAAUCAUUCGCAGAGUGUAAAGGUAUAAGGGAGCUUGACUGCGAGAGCUACAACUCGAGCAGGGACGAAAGUCGGGCUUAGUGAUCCGGUGGUUCCGUAUGGAAGGGCCAUCGCUCAACGGAUAAAAGCUACCCUGGGGAUAACAGGCUUAUCUCCCCCAAGAGUUCACAUCGACGGGGAGGUUUGGCACCUCGAUGUCGGCUCGUCGCAUCCUGGGGCUGUAGUCGGUCCCAAGGGUUGGGCUGUUCGCCCAUUAAAGCGGCACGCGAGCUGGGUUCAGAACGUCGUGAGACAGUUCGGUCCCUAUCCGUCGCGGGCGUAGGAAAUUUGAGAGGAUCUGCUCCUAGUACGAGAGGACCAGAGUGGACUUACCGCUGGUGUACCAGUUGUCUUGCCAAAGGCAUCGCUGGGUAGCUAUGUAGGGAAGGGAUAAACGCUGAAAGCAUCUAAGUGUGAAACCCACCUCAAGAUGAGAUUUCCCAUGAUUAUAUAUCAGUAAGAGCCCUGAGAGAUGAUCAGGUAGAUAGGUUAGAAGUGGAAGUGUGGCGACACAUGUAGCGGACUAAUACUAAUAGCUCGAGGACUUAUCCAA
rnacentral:rRNA from 1 species